AAAAUUUUUUUUAAAUUUUUUUCCGAUUUUUUAUUCUUUUUUGUGUUUAAAGCAUUAUUUGAGUGAAAAGAAACUUAUUGCAACUAAUUCGCAUUAAAAUAUAUCAAUUUUUUAAAUUUUGCUAAAUUGCUCAAAAAAUGGUAUGGAACUUGGUUCCUCGAAUAACUUCUGGCACAGACAUCUGAGGGCAUGGCCGUCCAAGAAGAAAAUGUAGCCAUUGAUGUCAUCUAUCGAACACAAGUUAAAGAUUGGCGAUCCGUUGGAUACCGACCGAGUUAUAGGCAAAACUUGGCGCAAAAAUGAGGAAAAUUUUACAUUUUCUCAAACAGGGUAAGGAACUUGGUUCGUCGAAUAACUUCUGGCACAGACAUCUGAGGGCAUGGCCGUUCAAGAAGAAAAUGUAGCCAUUGGUGCCAUCUAUCGACCACAGGUUAAAGAUUGGCGAUCCGUUGGAUACCGACAGAGUUAUAGGCAAAACUUGGCGCAAAAAUGAGGAAAAUUUUACAUUUUCUCAACAGGGUAAGGAACUUGUUUCCUCGAAUAACUUCUGGCACAGACAUCUGAGGGCAUGGCCGUCCAAGAAGAAAAUGUAGCCAUUGAUGCCAUCUAUCGGUCACAGGUUAAAGAUUGACGAUCCGUUGGAUACCGACAGAGUUAUAGGCAAAACUUGGUGCAAAAAUGAGCCUUAGUCAAUUUUCUUUUUUUUGAUUUUUUUGAUUUUUUAUUAUUUUUCACUCUUUUUUUUAUUUAAAGCAUUACUUGAGUGAAAAGAAACACAUUGCAACCAAUUAGCAUUAAAAUAAAUCAAUUUAAUUUUUUUUGCAAAAUUUCCCAAAAAAAUGGCAAGGGGUACCCCUUAUGAAAUUUUCGAGUGUAAAAUUUUUUUUAAAUUUUUUUCCGAUUUUUUAUUCUUUUUUGUGUUUAAAGCAUUAUUUGAGUGAAAAGAAACUUAUUGCAACUAAUUCGCAUUAAAAUAUAUCAAUUUUUUAAACUUUGCUAAAUUGCUCAAAAAAUGGUAUGGAACUUGGUUCCUCGAAUAUCUUCUGGCACAGACAUCUGAGGGCAUGGCCGUCCAAGAAGAAAAUGUAGCCAUUGGUGCCAUCUAUCGGUCACAGGUUAAAGAUUGGCGAUCCGUUGGAUACCGACCGAGUUAUAGGCAAAACUUGGCGCAAAAAUGAGGAAAAUUUUACAUUUUCUCAAACAGGGUAAGGAACUUGGUUCGUCGAAUAACUUCUGGCACAGACAUCUGAGGGCAUGGCCGUCCAAGAAGAAAAUGUAGCCAUUGAUGCCAUCUAUCGGUCACAGGUUAAAGAUUGGCGAUCCGUUGGAUACCGACCGAGUUAUAGGCAAAACUUGGCGCAAAAAUGAGGAAAAUUUUCCAUUUUCUCAAACAGGGUAAGGAACUUGGUUCGUCGAAUAACUUCUGGCACAAACAUCUGAGGGCAUGGCCGUCCAAGAAGAAAAAGUAGCCAUUGAUGCCAUCUAUCGACCACAGGUUAAAGAUUGGCGAUCCGUUGGAUACCGACAGAGUUAUAGGCAAAACUUGGCGCAAAAAUGAGGAAAAUUUUACAUUUUCUCAAACAGGGUAAGGAACUUGGUUCCUCGAAUAUCUUCUGGCACAGACAUCUGAGGGCAUGGCCGUCCAAGAAGAAAAUGUAGCCAUUGAUGCCAUCUAUCGACCACAGGUUAAAGAUUGGCGAUCCGUUGGAUACCGACAGAGUUAUAGGCAAAACUUGGCGCAAAAAUGAGGAAAAUUUUACAUUUUCUCAAACAGGGUAAGGAACUUGGUUCCUCGAAUAUCUUCUGGCACAGACAUCUGAGGGCAUGGCCGUCCAAGAAGAAAAUGUAGCCAUUGAUGCCAUCUAUCGACCACAGGUUAAAGAUUGACGAUCCGUUGGAUACCGACAGAGUUAUAGGCAAAACUUGGUGCAAAAAUGAGCCUUAGUCAAUUUUAAUUUUUUUUGAUUUUUUUGAUUUUUUUAUUAUUUUUCACUCUUUUUUUUAUUUAAAGCAUUACUUGAGUGAAAAGAAACACAUUGCAACCAAUUGGCAUUAAAAUAAAUCAAUUUAAUUUUUUUUUGCAAAAUUUCCCAAAAAAAUGGCAAGGGGUACCCCUUAUGAAAUUUUCGAGUGUAAAAUUUUUUUUAAAUUUUUUUCCGAUUUUUUAUUCUUUUUUGUGUUUAAAGCAUUAUUUGAGUGAAAAGAAACUUAUUGCAACUAAUUCGCAUUAAAAUAUAUCAAUUUUUUAAAUUUUGCUAAAUUGCUCAAAAAAUGGUAUGGAACUUGGUUCCUCGAAUAACUUCUGGCACAGACAUCUGAGGGCAUGGCCGUCCAAGAAGAAAAUGUAGCCAUUGAUGCCAUCUAUCGGUCACAGGUUAAAGAUUGGCGAUCCGUUGGAUACCGACCGAGUUAUAGGCAAAACUUGGCGCAAAAAUGAGGAAAAUUUUACAUUUUCUCAAACAGGGUAAGGAACUUGGUUCGUCGAAUAACUUCUGGCACAGACAUCUGAGGGCAUGGCCGUUCAAGAAGAAAAUGUAGCCAUUGGUGCCAUCUAUCGACCACAGGUUAAAGAUUGGCGAUCCGUUGGAUACCGACAGAGUUAUAGGCAAAACUUGGCGCAAAAAUGAGGAAAAUUUUACAUUUUCUCAACAGGGUAAGGAACUUGUUUCCUCGAAUAACUUCUGGCACAGACAUCUGAGGGCAUGGCCGUCCAAGAAGAAAAUGUAGCCAUUGAUGCCAUCUAUCGGUCACAGGUUAAAGAUUGACGAUCCGUUGGAUACCGACAGAGUUAUAGGCAAAACUUGGUGCAAAAAUGAGCCUUAGUCAAUUUUCUUUUUUUUGAUUUUUUUGAUUUUUUAUUAUUUUUCACUCUUUUUUUUAUUUAAAGCAUUACUUGAGUGAAAAGAAACACAUUGCAACCAAUUAGCAUUAAAAUAAAUCAAUUUAAUUUUUUUUGCAAAAUUUCCCAAAAAAAUGGCAAGGGGUACCCCUUAUGAAAUUUUCGAGUGUAAAAUUUUUUUUAAAUUUUUUUCCGAUUUUUUAUUCUUUUUUGUGUUUAAAGCAUUAUUUGAGUGAAAAGAAACUUAUUGCAACUAAUUCGCAUUAAAAUAUAUCAAUUUUUUAAACUUUGCUAAAUUGCUCAAAAAAUGGUAUGGAACUUGGUUCCUCGAAUAUCUUCUGGCACAGACAUCUGAGGGCAUGGCCGUCCAAGAAGAAAAUGUAGCCAUUGGUGCCAUCUAUCGGUCACAGGUUAAAGAUUGGCGAUCCGUUGGAUACCGACCGAGUUAUAGGCAAAACUUGGCGCAAAAAUGAGGAAAAUUUUACAUUUUCUCAAACAGGGUAAGGAACUUGUUUCCUCGAAUAACUUCUGGCACAGACAUCUGAGGGCAUGGCCGUCCAAGAAGAAAAUGUAGCCAUUGAUGCCAUCUAUCGACCACAGGUUAAAGAUUGACGAUCCGUUGGAUACCGACAGAGUUAUAGGCAAAACUUGGUGCAAAAAUGAGCCUUAGUCAAUUUUAAUUUUUUUUGAUUUUUUUGAUUUUUUUAUUAUUUUUCACUCUUUUUUUUAUUUAAAGCAUUACUUGAGUGAAAAGAAACACAUUGCAACCAAUUAGCAUUAAAAUAAAUCAAUUUAAUUUUUUUUGCAAAAUUUCCCAAAAAAAUGGCAAGGGGUACCCCUUAUGAAAUUUUCGAGUGUAAAAUUUUUUUUAAAUUUUUUUCCGAUUUUUUAUUCUUUUUUGUGUUUAAAGCAUUAUUUGAGUGAAAAGAAACUUAUUGCAACUAAUUCGCAUUAAAAUAUAUCAAUUUUUUAAACUUUGCUAAAUUGCUCAAAAAAUGGUAUGGAACUUGGUUCCUCGAAUAUCUUCUGGCACAGACAUCUGAGGGCAUGGCCGUCCAAGAAGAAAAUGUAGCCAUUGGUGCCAUCUAUCGGUCACAGGUUAAAGAUUGGCGAUCCGUUGGAUACCGACCGAGUUAUAGGCAAAACUUGGCGCAAAAAUGAGGAAAAUUUUACAUUUUCUCAAACAGGGUAAGGAACUUGGUUCGUCGAAUAACUUCUGGCACAGACAUCUGAGGGCAUGGCCGUCCAAGAAGAAAAUGUAGCCAUUGAUGCCAUCUAUCGGUCACAGGUUAAAGAUUGGCGAUCCGUUGGAUACCGACCGAGUUAUAGGCAAAACUUGGCGCAAAAAUGAGGAAAAUUUUCCAUUUUCUCAAACAGGGUAAGGAACUUGGUUCGUCGAAUAACUUCUGGCACAAACAUCUGAGGGCAUGGCCGUCCAAGAAGAAAAAGUAGCCAUUGAUGCCAUCUAUCGACCACAGGUUAAAGAUUGGCGAUCCGUUGGAUACCGACAGAGUUAUAGGCAAAACUUGGCGCAAAAAUGAGGAAAAUUUUACAUUUUCUCAAACAGGGUAAGGAACUUGGUUCCUCGAAUAUCUUCUGGCACAGACAUCUGAGGGCAUGGCCGUCCAAGAAGAAAAUGUAGCCAUUGAUGCCAUCUAUCGACCACAGGUUAAAGAUUGACGAUCCGUUGGAUACCGACAGAGUUAUAGGCAAAACUUGGUGCAAAAAUGAGCCUUAGUCAAUUUUAAUUUUUUUUGAUUUUUUUGAUUUUUUUAUUAUUUUUCACUCUUUUUUUUAUUUAAAGCAUUACUUGAGUGAAAAGAAACACAUUGCAACCAAUUGGCAUUAAAAUAAAUCAAUUUAAUUUUUUUUGCAAAAUUUCCCAAAAAAAUGGCAAGGGGUACCCCUUAUGAAAUUUUCGAGUGUAAAAUUUUUUUUAAAUUUUUUUCCGAUUUUUUAUUCUUUUUUGUGUUUAAAGCAUUAUUUGAGUGAAAAGAAACUUAUUGCAACUAAUUCGCAUUAAAAUAUAUCAAUUUUUUAAAUUUUGCUAAAUUGCUCAAAAAAUGGUAUGGAACUUGGUUCCUCGAAUAACUUCUGGCACAGACAUCUGAGGGCAUGGCCGUCCAAGAAGAAAAUGUAGCCAUUGAUGCCAUCUAUCGGUCACAGGUUAAAGAUUGGCGAUCCGUUGGAUACCGACCGAGUUAUAGGCAAAACUUGGCGCAAAAAUGAGGAAAAUUUUACAUUUUCUCAAACAGGGUAAGGAACUUGGUUCGUCGAAUAACUUCUGGCACAAACAUCUGAGGGCAUGGCCGUCCAAGAAGAAAAUGUAGCCAUUGGUGCCAUCUAUCGACCACAGGUUAAAGAUUGGCGAUCCGUUGGAUACCGACAGAGUUAUAGGCAAAACUUGGCGCAAAAAUGAGGAAAAUUUUACAUUUUCUCAACAGGGUAAGGAACUUGUUUCCUCGAAUAACUUCUGGCACAGACAUCUGAGGGCAUGGCCGUCCAAGAAGAAAAUGUAGCCAUUGAUGCCAUCUAUCGGUCACAGGUUAAAGAUUGGCGAUCCGUUGGAUACCGACCGAGUUAUAGGCAAAACUUGGCGCAAAAAUGAGCCUUAGUCAAUUUUCAUUUUUUUGAUUUUUUUGAUUUUUUUUUAUUUUUCACUCUUUUUUUUAUUUAAAGCAUUACUUGAGUGAAAAGAAACACAUUGCAACCAAUUGGCAUUAAAAUAAAUCAAUUUAAUUUUUUUUGCAAAAUUUCCCAAAAAAAUGGCAAGGGGUACCCCUUAUGAAAUUUUCGAGUGUAAAAUUUUUUUUAAAUUUUUUUCCGAUUUUUUAUUCUUUUUUGUGUUUAAAGCAUUAUUUGAGUGAAAAGAAACUUAUUGCAACUAAUUCGCAUUAAAAUAUAUCAAUUUUUUAAAUUUUGCUAAAUUGCUCAAAAAAUGGUAUGGAACUUGGUUCCUCGAAUAACUUCUGGCACAGACAUCUGAGGGCAUGGCCGUCCAAUAAGAAAAUGUAGCCAUUGGUGCCAUCUAUCGGUCACAAGUUAAAGAUUGGCGAUCCGUUGGAUACCGACCGAGUUAUAGGCAAAACUUGGCGCAAAAAUGAGGAAAAUUUUACAUUUUCUCAAACAGGGUAAGGAACUUGGUUCGUCGAAUAACUUCUGGCACAAACAUCUGAGGGCAUGGCCGUCCAAGAAGAAAAUGUAGCCAUUGGUGCCAUCUAUCGACCACAGGUUAAAGAUUGGCGAUCCGUUGGAUACCGACCGAGUUAUAGGCAAAACUUGGCGCAAAAAUGAGCCUUAGUCAAUUUUCAUUUUUUUGAUUUUUUUGAUUUUUUUAUUAUUUUUCACUCUUUUUUUUUAUUUAAAGCAUUACUUGAGUAAAAAGAAACACAUUGCAACCAAUUGGCAUUAAAAUAAAUCAAUUUAAUUUUUUUUGCAAAAUUUCCCAAAAAAAUGGCAAGGGGUACCCCUUAUGAAAUUUUCGAGUGUAAAAUUUUUUUUAAAUUUUUUUCCGAUUUUUUAUUCUUUUUUGUGUUUAAAGCAUUAUUUGAGUGAAAAGAAACUUAUUGCAACUAAUUCGCAUUAAAAUAUAUCAAUUUUUUAAAUUUUGCUAAAUUGCUCAAAAAAUGGUAUGGAACUUGGUUCCUCGAAUAACUUCUGGCACAGACAUCUGAGGGCAUGGCCGUCCAAUAAGAAAAUGUAGCCAUUGGUGCCAUCUAUCGGUCACAAGUUUAAAGAUUGGCGAUCCGUUGGAUACCGACCGAGUUAUAGGCAAAACUUGACGCAAAAAUGUGGAAAAUUUUACAUUUUCUCAAACAGGGUAAGGAACUUGGUUCGUCGAAUAACUUCUGGCACAAACAUCUGAGGGCAUGGCCGUCCAAGAAGAAAAUGUAGCCAUUGAUGCCAUCUAUCGGUCACAAGUUAAAGAUUGGCGAUCCGUUGGAUACCGACAGAGUUAUAGGCAAAAGUUGGCGCAAAAAUGAGGAAAAUUUUACAUUUUCUCAACAGGGUAAGGAACUUGUUUCCUCGAAUAACUUCUGGCACAGACAUCUGAGGGCAUGGCCGUCCAAGAAGAAAAUGUAGCCAUUGAUGCCAUCUAUCGGUCACAGGUUAAAGAUUGGCGAUCCGUUGGAUACCGACCGAGUUAUAGGCAAAACUUGGCGCAAAAAUGAGCCUUAGUCAAUUUUCAUUUUUUUGAUUUUUUUGAUUUUUUUUUAUUUUUCACUCUUUUUUUUAUUUAAAGCAUUACUUGAGUGAAAAGAAACACAUUGCAACCAAUUGGCAUUAAAAUAAAUCAAUUUAAUUUUUUUUGCAAAAUUUCCCAAAAAAAUGGCAAGGGGUACCCCUUAUGAAAUUUUCGAGUGUAAAAUUUUUUUUAAAUUUUUUUCCGAUUUUUUAUUCUUUUUUGUGUUUAAAGCAUUAUUUGAGUGAAAAGAAACUUAUUGCAACUAAUUCGCAUUAAAAUAUAUCAAUUUUUUAAAUUUUGCUAAAUUGCUCAAAAAAUGGUAUGGAACUUGGUUCCUCGAAUAUCUUCUUGCACAGACAUCUGAGGGCAUGGCCGUCCAAGAAGAAAAUGUAGCCAUUGGUGCCAUCUAUCGACCACAGGUUAAAGAUUGGCGAUCCGUUGGAUACCGACAGAGUUAUAGGCAAAACUUGGCGCAAAAAUGAGGAAAAUUUUACAUUUUCUCAAACAGGGUAUGGAACUUGGUUCGUCGAAUAACUUCCGACACGGACAUCUGAGAGCACGGCCGUCCAAGAAGAAAAUGUAGCCAUUGGCGCCAUCUAUUGACCACAAGUUAAAGAUUGGCGAUCCGUUGGAUACCGACCGAGUUAUAGGCAAAACUUGGCGCAAAAAUGAGGAAAAUUUUACAUUUUCUCAAAGAGGGUAAGGAACUUGGUUCCUCGAAUAUCUUCUGGCACAGACAUCUGAGGGCAUGGCCGCCCAAGAAGAAAAUGUAACCAUUGGUGCCAUCUAUCGGUCACAAGUUAAAGAUUGGCGAUCCGUUGGAUACCGACCGAGUUAUAGGCAAAAGUUGGCGCAAAAAUGAGGAAAAUUUUCCAUUUUCUCAAACAGGGUAAGGAACUUAGUUCGUCGAAUAACUUCUGGCACAGACAUCUGAGGACAUGGCCGUCCAAGAAGAAAAUGUAGCCAUUGAUGCCAUCUAUCGACCACAGGUUAAAGAUUGGCGAUCCGUUGGAUACCGACAGAGUUAUAGGCAAAACUUGGCGCAAAAAUGAGGAAAAUUUUACAUUUUCUCAAACAGGGUAUGGAACUUGGUUCGUCGAAUAACUUCCGACACGGACAUCUGAGAGCACGGCCGUCCAAAAAGAAAAUGUAGCCAUUGGUGCCAUCUAUUGACCACAAGUUAAAGAUUAGCGAUCCGUUGGAUACCGACAGAGUUAUAGGCAAAACUUGGUGCAAAAAUGAGCCUUAGUCAAUUUUCAUUUUUUUGAUUUUUUUGAUUUUUUUAUUAUUUUUCACUCUUUUUUUUUAUUUAAAGCAUUACUUGAGUGAAAAGAAACACAUUGCAACCAAUUGGCAUUAAAAUAAAUCAAUUUAAUUUUUUUUGCAAAAUUUCCCAAAAAAAUGGCAAGGGGUACCCCUUAUGAAAUUUUCGAGUGUAAAUUUUUGUUUAAAUUUUUUUCCGAUUUUUUAUUCUUUUUUGUGUUUAAAGCAUUAUUUGAGUGAAAAGAAACUUAUUGCAACUAAUUCGCAUUAAAAUAUAUCAAUUUUUUAAAUUUUGCUAAAUUGCUCAAAAAAUGGUAUGGAACUUGGUUCGUCGAAUAACUUCUGGCACAGACAUCUGAGGGCAUGGCCGUCCAAGAAGAAAAUGUAGCCAUUGAUGCCAUCUAUC